rnacentral:rRNA from 1 species
GUGGUCACAUCACAUUGAAACACCAGUUCCUGUAAAAUCACCAAAGCUAAGCAACAUUGAGCUUGGUCAGUACCUAGAUGGGUGACUGCUUGGGAAUACCACAUGC